rnacentral:tRNA from 1 species
GCGGUAGUAGCUCAGUGGUAGAGCUCCGCUUCGCAUGCGUGGAGACCUCGGUUCGAUUCCCGGCUGCUUCC